rnacentral:misc_RNA from 1 species
AUGCAGUGAAUUCUCGCCACGUGUAAGAUCAGCGGUGGUUCAAAUGCAACUAAUACCUUGACCAUGUUUGUUUCUACCGACCGGAAGAGAUUUGCCAUGGAACAAAUAUUACCAUCAAUGUAGUACAAAAAUGUCCAGAAAAUGCCAAGACAGUACAAAUGAGAAUUAUCGAAAGGAAAUGCUACCAGUAUCCUAAAUGUGACGGUGAAGUUCUUGUUUAUCAUUGCACUCGAUUUCUCAACAACCUCAUAGAAGUAUGUUCUCCGAAUGGAUUAAUAACAGGUUAACAUGGCAUACAUGACACGACAUAUUCCUUCCAAAAAAGGUGUAUCAUGUUUAAAAGCUGUAUCAUAAAGGACUGUGCGUUAGUCUUGUAUUGAAAUGAUCAACGAAAAAUGCAAAUAAUUAAAUGUUUUAUCGUU